UUUUUAUUUUUUGCUGUUGUUGUACCAUUGUUCUUCAUUUAAAAAAAAAAAAAAAAAAAAACA
rnacentral:ribozyme from 1 species